UCACUGAAAGCAGUGGGAACCAAGGGAGCUCAGCCCUCUUAACUCAGGAACCCCUUGCUAGUGUGGCUGAUACCUGACAGAGGGAAGAAGAUGACUUCGGAGAUGACAGUCUACCCUUCUCACAGAUUCAAAUUAUGCAGCAUAUCAAGAGAAAACUUCCAUGAAGUCAUUAGUGAAAACUUCUAAAUGCAGUGCAAUAAUUUUCUGUUCUGGGUAACUGAAAAGGACUUCAAACAUCAGAAGAUGACCAGAGGCCACAGUGAUGCAUCUGCACAUGUUGACCUUUUCUAGAUACAAUUUCACUUCUGCUGAUGGCACAGUAAGACUAAAAAUAUUCCACAAAAAUACAAACAUCUGCAAAGCAUCUAGCCAGAGGAUGAACUGAAAGUGGAAAAGAGGUGUGAAGACAGGAAGAAAGCUGUAUUUGGAUAUUACCUAUAUAUAUAUGUAUGCAGACAUGUGAUAACAUACUAUAUUCUUAUUAAAAAAUUAUCUUGUGGUAUGCAGAGAAAGAUUUUUAGAACUCAAAAUGAGAAUUAAGGUGUAAUUCUAGAAAAAAAAAUAAUGUUGUCAAGCAAUCCUGGCUGGAAAGGAACAAUAAACUGAGGUGAGAUUCAAGAUAAUUCUUGCUUAUUUAAGAUGGGAAGUGCUAGCUUGGACAAGAGAUCUGAAGUAUUAAACAGUCAAACCACUGAGGGAGAAAAUUGGAAAUGAAUAUAUCAAAACAGGAUACUCCAAAGGAGGAUUUCUAAGUAACAUUGAAGAAUGCAUCAUAAAAAGCCAAUGUAAAUCCCUGAAGGACUGAAAUUUAAUAGAAUUUUUAAUAAGAAUACCACAGACCUACAGCAGGCUUAGAAAUAUGAAGAAGGGCAGCAUUUUAUUUGUCUACCCUAAAAUACCUGGAGAAGGAAUUAAAAGCCAGAAAAAAAAUAUCCUGAGAACAUCAGCAAUGUGGCUUCUUACAACCCGAAAAACAAAGCAAGUUGUUUGAUCAAGAAUAACACUAAGGUUUGUAAGCCAUACAUGUUAAAAGAAAUGACAUUUAAUACAAGAGGAAAAGAAAGUCUCAUUUAGAUUAUAAUUAUUAUCUACUGCUACAAGGAACAGCUACCUGAAUAUCUCUCUAUAAAAGGCAACAUACAAGUGUGCUGCAUAUUUCAGUUUCCUCAGCUGUGUUUCAUGACGUACCGCUGAUUUGUAACUGUCCACUGCAACUUAUCAGAUGUAGUUACAGCAAAAGUCCAACAGCAUUGAUUUCACAGAAUGGCUGAGGUUAGAAGUGACCUCAAAGAUUAUCUACUACAACGUCCCCACCAUGGGCAAGAAUGCUUCUCAACUAGACUCAAGGCCUCUAACUGUUCAAGUCUUCAUCCAGUCUGGCCACAAACACCCACAGGGAGGACGCAUCUAUCUCUCUGGGCAGUCUGUUCCACUGGUAAGAAUUAUUGAAGAACUUCUAAGAUCAGAUCUAAACCUACUCUCCCUCAGCUUCACACCAUUCUCCCUUGUCCUGCAGCUAGACACCUUUAAGAAAAGUCCCUCUGCAGCUUUCCUGUAGGAUCCCUUAAGGUAUUGGAAGGCAGCUUCAAGGUCCCCCCUAGUCUUCUAUAGGCUGAACAAGCCCAGCUCACUCAGCCUAUUCUCACAGCAGAGGUGUUCCAGCCCUUGAGUAAAUCAUCUUUUGACUUCUUCACAAAAGUUAUGGACACAAUUCUUAAACCUCUUCUGUGACAGCUGAGUCUUUUCCUGCAUUAAUUAAAUGCAUAAUAGGAUGAUUAAAUGAACAACUACGUUAAAAGGUUGCAUAUUUAGGGAUGAGAGUUUAUUUAGUUCUGACAUGCUCUAUUUCUAAAUUAAAUCAUGAUUCUUCCACUAAGAAUUCCAAUGUAAUGAGUGAUCUUUUUCUUUAAAAUUUUGAUGUUAAAGUACUACAGAAUUCAGAUUUUUUUAACUAUAAGGAUUUAGUUAACGGCCAUCUGAUCCAAGUGUAUAUUGCCACAGGUAAGCAGGUUUCUGGACACCACAAUUUGAAAUUUCAGCUAACACGACUCAGACAAACAGUGUCUUUUUGUUGUUUGGUUUCUUUUGGGGCUUUACAUUGAAAUUUGCAGGCAAGUUAUGCUUAAAAAUAUUUUCUGAAGUGAAGUGAAUAUUUGAAGGUGGCCACAUCACAGUGAAGUCUGAAGUACACUUCAAGACUUUGGCUGCUGUAGAUGUGGGGAAAUGAGAAACACUUGAAUUGUAACUGUGCAGAGAACAAACACUUUCAUCCUUCCAAUCACUCUGCAAUAGAUGCAUUUCAUGCAUGCUGUUCGAAGUAAAGACACAGAGGGGUUUGGUUUUGGUUCUUUAUGAAGGGCUUGUCUAUUUUGAGUAUGCCACAGUUGCUCUUUCUAUAAUGCUAAAAUCAGUCUUGACUGCAUGCACUGAAAUUUAGUUCCUUACAGAAGUAUUAAAAGAAAAUCUGAGCACUAUUCAUUAUUGGCCUAAAAACUGGGAGCUACAAAGCGCAGAGACUGAUGUUUGGUUUUCCCCCUGUGCCAUUUAUUUUAUUAAUAUGACAGAUGUAUUUAAAGUUGUUUUUCUAAAUGUUGACAAUGCUCAUGUGAUAAGACUUUUUGUUAAUUGUUUUUCCACUUACUUGUUGC